GGGCGUGUCGUCUAAGGGGAAGACGGUCGGUUUGCACCCGGCAGAUGAGGGUUCAACUCCCUCCACGGUCCA
rnacentral:tRNA from 1 species